CCAUCAGUUAGGGGCACUACAAUACAAACAGAGCAACAGGUGACUAUACAGAUACACAGGAUUACCCAUGUGUGGCCCCUUGUAAGAAAAUAAGAAAAAACCCAGAAGAAUAAAGAAAAAAAUCUCAUGUAUUUGGAAGACAAUGAGACAUUACAUCCAUGAUUAUGUCAUGUUACAUGGCAAAGGGAUUUGGCAGAUGCAAUUAAGGUUACUGAUGAGUUGACUAAAUUAAUCCAAAGAGAGAUAAUUCACAUGUAACCACGUGGGCCCUAAAAGCAGAGUUAUCUCUGGUUAGUAGCCGAAGAGAGAUAUUUGAAGCAUGAGAUCAGAUCAGUGUGGGAUAGAUUCUUAGUCAUGGAUAUGGAAGAAGCUAUGUGGAAGAAACUGAGAGUAGCCUCUAAGAGCUUCGAGUGACCAUGAGCCAGCCAAUGGCCAGAAAGAAUAUGAAUACCUCAAUCCUACAACUGCAGAGAACCGAUUUCAGCCAACAACACAGAUCAUCUUGGAAGUGGAUUCCUCCCAGAUCCUCCAGACAAGACUUCAGCCCAGCUGACAUCUUAAUUUAAGCUUUAUGAAACCCUAAGCAAAGAAACUGGUCAAGCCAUUGGCCUACUGACUUACAGAACUUUGAGAUAAUAAAUGGGUUUAUUCUAUGCCA